rnacentral:rRNA from 1 species
GACGAACGCUGGCGGCGUGCCUAAUACAUGCAAGUUGAGCGCUGAAGGUUGGUACUUGUACCAACUGGAUGAGCAGCGAACGGGUGAGUAACGCGUGGGGAAUCUGCCUUUGAGCGGGGGACAACAUUUGGAAACGAAUGCUAAUACCGCAUAAAAACUUUAAACACAAGUUUUAAGUUUGAAAGAUGCAAUUGCAUCACUCAAAGAUGAUCCCGCGUUGUAUUAGCUAGUUGGUGAGGUAAAGGCUCACCAAGGCGAUGAUACAUAGCCGACCUGAGAGGGUGAUCGGCCACAUUGGGACUGAGACACGGCCCAAACUCCUACGGGAGGCAGCAGUAGGGAAUCUUCGGCAAUGGACGAAAGUCUGACCGAGCAACGCCGCGUGAGUGAAGAAGGUUUUCGGAUCGUAAAACUCUGUUGGUAGGGAAGAACGUUGGUGAGAGUGGAAAGCUCAUCAAGUGACGGUAACUACCCAGAAAGCGACGGCUAACUACGUG